GGACAAUUUACUACGGCACAGGGGCUUACACCGUUGACCAAUUCGUGAUGAUGCUACUAGAACAACGCUGGUGACGACAGCAUAUCCAGAGAAGAGAAGGCCCUCUUGCAGUUAAGCUGAGACGUGAUCAGCGACUACAUGGCUCCACCCAGAGGACAGAAGAUAAAAUUGGCCCCACGUUUCUUAUUGCUGUUCAGUGACAGACAAUAUCACCACCUACAUCCAGGGGUGCUGCUAGGAAUUCUGGGUCCCAUGAAAAAUCACCUUGGGUCUACCUUGACUACGAAGCAUGGUGAAGGCAGUAGUGGACCAAACCAUUUCAUGCAUCUAUAGCUAUAGUCAAUAUGGAAGUUUAUUUUGGUCAAUGUGGAUAUUUAACUGAUGCUACCAAAUACAAUCGCUAUAUUAAAAAUACAUCACAACCAGAUUGACACAACCAAAACGCAUCAGUCAUGGGCCCUUGGAAUUGUCCAAACUUUUCCCCCCUGUACAGUGCCCCAGCCUACAUCCACUAGAACUUGAUCUUGAUAUAUGCCAAGCAUGCCCAUUAGGUCGAUCACAUGUGUCACACACGUCAUAAACGUCACUUUGUAAAUGUCAGCUGACAUUAAGCUCCCCUUCAGAUUUGUGGCAAAGUACAGUAAGUGGUGAACAGCCGUCUUAAGCAACACACAGAAAUGCUAAUUCCAUCAUAACUCUACUGCUGAGUUAUUAACAAAAGUUAUCUGUUCACUUGUAGCAAGUAGUUAUGUAAAAAAAGUCCAUUGUUUGAUGGCUUGGCUUCACGUCCUGAACUCCGCUAUAGAAAUGUGUGUGUUAUUAUUAUUAUUUGAUGAUUAUUUGGAAAAUGUGCCCAUUGGUGAAACCUUUUUAAUAUGUUGCCUUGACCCUGGCUGCAUUGUCUUUUGCGUCAUCAUUUUCAUUUCUUCUAUAUGUGUAAUGUUUGAGAAAGUCCAGAUUAGCCCACAACAUAAAGUAGGCUUUGAGUUUUGACACCCCUGAUGUAAACGAUGAAGUUUCCUUCCUCCAUUUAAAAGGCAUAUAUUGUGAUAACUCUUAAUUCCUGCAAACCACAGGCUGUAAAAAAAAAUCCUACAAUGAAGAUAAAGCAGCAUGUAGCCAGAGGGCUUUACUUCCGGCUAUAGAAAACAGGUAAGAUGCAGCAGUUUAAAUAACCAACCAUAUUGAAACUGCAGCAGUGUACGAUCAAAAACAACAGAGGGCGCCAUUGCUUUCUACAAAUGUACUACGGAGUCAACCUGAGUCAGUCAAAUGUGGCCUAGACUAAACCAGUAGAUAGUUCAAUUAUUUGACUAUUUGUAUAUGAUAUUAAAGGAUGUCCAUAAAAUCUCUUUACAAUUUAACACAUUCCUUACAAAAGCAAAUUAAUCCUGGGA